GAUGAACGCUAGCGGCAGGCCUAAUACAUGCAAGUCGAACGGUGGUAGCAAUACCAUAGUGGCGCACGGGUGCGUAACGCGUAACCAACCUGCCCUUGACUGGGGGAUAGCCCGCCGAAAGGCGGAUUAAUACCGCAUAAUACUCGAGACCGGCAUCGGUUUUCAGUUAAAGAUUUAUUGGUCAAGGAUGGGGUUGCGUGACAUUAGCUAGUUGGCGGGGUAACGGCCCACCAAGGCGACGAUGUCUAGGGGAGCUGAGAGGCUGGUCCCCCACACGGGCACUGAGAUACGGGCCCGACUCCUACGGGAGGCAGCAGUAGGGAAUAUUGGGCAAUGGGCGAGAGCCUGACCCAGCCAUGCCGCGUGCAGGAUGAAGGCUUUCUGAGUCGUAAACUGCUUUUGCCAGGGAAGAAAAAAGGGGAUGCGCCCUCUACUGACGGUACCUGGUGAAUAAGCACCGGCUAGCUCCGUGCCAGCAGCCGCGGUAACAC
rnacentral:rRNA from 1 species